GGUUGCGAUCAUACCAGCACUAAUGGACCGGAACCCAUCAGAACUCUGUAGUUAAGCGUGAUUAGGCAAGAGUGGUAGAGUUUAAUGAUAUAGAAAUGUAAUCAAGUUUGUCAACUG
rnacentral:rRNA from 1 species